AUGGACUUUUUGAAUCUGGCCAUCAGAAUCAUUUGUUUACCAGAAACUACAAUUGGAACUCUGGGAAAUGUCACUCUUAUUUCUUCUAUCUAAUCCUUUACUACAGACAAUGCACGAUAAAACCCACAGAUUUGAUUCCCAUGUACAUAAUAAUGCACAUACUUAUGCAGCCAAUGCUGUGAUUAUUCUCUCUUCAGGAGUGCCCCACACAAUGUCAGCUUUUGGGAGGAAACAGUUCUUGAAUUCUUUUGUAUGCAAGCUCCUAUUGUAUAUUCAUGGUUUUAGGAGGAGUAUAUCCAUUGGCACCAGCUGCUUUUUGAGUGUUUUCCAGACCAUGACAAUCAGCCCCAGGGAAUCCUGUUGGAAGAAUCAAAAUGACAAAGCUGGGAAGUAUAUUGGCUGCCCCAUUAUCAUUCUAUGGGUCUUCUACAUGUUGAUAAAUUUCAUAUCCUCUCUCAACACACUUAACAAUUGGAAAAGCAAACAUGUGACAAGAGAACAAGAUUUUGGAUACUGUUCUAUUGUAGGGCACAAUGAAAUUAGUGAGUUUCUCUAUGCAGCAUUGGUAGUAUGCCCUGAAGUCUUAUUUUCUGUCCUGAUAUCCUAUUCCAGAGGGUUCAUGAUUGUCCUUCUGCUCUGACACAAUCAGAGUGUUCACACAUCUGUAGCUCUUAUGGUUCUAGUAGAAACUCCUGUGAGUCCAGAACCACCCAGAAUAUCCUGGCCCUUCCAUCUUUUUAUAAUCUCUCUACUAUCUUAUGAGGCUGCAUUGCAUUUUAUAAGUUAUAACUGGUGACUGGUAAACAUCAAUCUCUUCAUUUCUCUGUGUUUUCCAUCUUUUGUGCCCUUUGUCCUAUGAAACCUUCUUCCAUUUUGUCC
rnacentral:lncRNA from 1 species